AACGAACGCUGGCGGCAGGCUUAACACAUGCAAGUCGAACGCCCUCUUUGAGGGAGUGGCAGACGGGUGAGUAACGCGUGGGAAUCUACCUAGUGGUAAGGAACAACACAGAGAAAUUUGUGCUAAUACCUUAUACGCCCUCCGGGGGAAAGAUUUAUCGCCAUUAGAUGGGCCCGCGUUUGAUUAGCUAGUUGGUGGGGUAAUGGCUCACCAAGGCGACGAUCAAUAGCUGGUCUGAGAGGAUGAUCAGCCACACUGGGACUGAGACACGGCCCAG
rnacentral:rRNA from 1 species